rnacentral:lncRNA from 1 species
GUUUGAUCUUGAUGAUUGUAUAAUUGGUACCUGGUUAUCUAAGCAACCCUCCUUGUUUUUUUGUUGAUAUUCUUGGCUUUUAAAAAAUACAUUUCUACUGUGAAUAGUUCUGCAAACAUUAAUAGCCAAGUGAAAUUUUGGUAGAAUUUACAAUUUUAUGUUAGUUAGUGCACUUCAGAAUAACCAAAAUUGUAUGAUGAUAAUAUGAUCAUCCUCUUAUUUUAAUUUAUUUACCGUGUAAUUACAUGCUUAUUUUUUGCAUUUUGGUUAUAUUUGCAGAUGUUUUGAACCUGUGACUAGAAGGCAGAUGCAUUAUGGAAGUUAAUUUUUUGAUCUUUUUGUAACUCUGAAUAGAAUGGUUUUCUUUUUUAAGACAAUGAGUUAACAUCUUUUUAUCUAUCCAUCAUUUUGGUUUGAAUCUUAAUCUCAAAUAGAUUUUUCCCUUAAAAAUGAUUUACAUUGGGUUCCAUUUGUUUUCCUCUUAAUUCAGAGUAAAACAAAAUACUAUCGAAACCAAUUUUCUAUAAUUAAUCAAGUCUAGAAAUCAUUUUUCGUAUCAUACAACUGGAUACAUUUUUAAGAAUUCUUCAGUUUACCCUCAAUAUUUCAUAUUUCAACCCAUUACUUUUUCUAUUUUCAAAGGGUCGUUUUGUCUUUUAAUCAUCUUUUAAUCUUUAGUAUUCUUCAUUGUGAUCAUCUUAAGAGCCUGUUAACAUGGCAAGACUCUUGGUCCUUGUUUUAUAUUCUACUUGGCUUUAAUAAAAAAUGCAGUAUUAUGUUU